rnacentral:rRNA from 1 species
UACGUAGGUGGCAAGCGUUGUCCGGAAUUACUGGGUGUAAAGGGAGCGCAGGCGGGAAGCCAAGUCAGCUGUGAAAACUACGGGCUUAACUUGUAGACUGCAGUUGAAACUGGUUUUCUUGAGUGAAGUAGAGGUUGGCGGAAUUCCGAGUGUAGCGGUGAGAUGCGUAGAUAUUCGGAGGAACACCGGUGGCGAAGGCGGCCAACUGGGCUUUAACUGACGCUGGGGCUCGAAAGUGUGGGGAGCAAACAGG